rnacentral:lncRNA from 1 species
UGGCGAUUUAGUACUGUGUGAUACCUUAUGUGAGGGCUCUGUGCCCAAGUGUUUUGUUAAGUCUCUGAUCCUCUUCCACCAUACACAUAGAGAGCCAAAAGGAACAAACUGACAAACUCCAGGACUGAAGAGACUCUGGCUGCCUGCAGCUACCCGAAUCAUGCAUGGGCUUCCCCAAGGACAGCAGCAAGACUGCCCCUUCUACUUCACUGGUCCAGACGGACUCAGUUAUUCCUUAUUCAGGAAGACCCUUCUGAAGGAAAUAAUCUGCAUGACUCGAGCAUGAGGAGAAUCUCUGGAAACAUAGCCACCAUCGAAUAGGAACAAGAGGGACUGGGGACUAGCUACUGGAGACCGAUGCUUACCUCGGCUGGCCUCCGAAUAAGCUGCAUGGCUCCAGGCUUGGUGUCCAGCUGCCUUUCAGGCUGUUAUAAACUAACUACGAACAGU